AAGGUUGGAGGAUACAAAUUGUCUGCCUUGGAAAUUGAAUCGGUGCUUUUACAGGUAAACUCGUCCUCUCUAUAUUCCUAUUCCGAGUCAUGAAACCCCUUUCUUUUUGUUUUAAAUAUCUGUUCUUUGAUUUCCUUUCAAGGGAAACCGAAACAAAAGAUCACCCUUGACAGAGGGGUAAAUGAUUAAACGAUCAUCAGCAGGCUAAAUUUAUUUUUUGUGCAUCACCCUGAUAUAGCAGAAUGCUGUGUGUUUCUCUUACUGGACAAGUAUUAUGGAGAAGCUGUAUCCGCAAUAGUGGUGCUGGAGUCGGAACGAAAAAGGGAACUAGAUGAGUUGAAUUCUGCUUUCAGUUUGGAAGAUCUUUGCAACUGGGCUAAAGACAAACUUGCUCCAUACAAGCUUCCAACACGAUUAAUGUUGUGGGAUUCUCUUCCUCGUAAUGCGAUGGGAAAGGUGAAUAAGAAGGAGCUGAAGAGACGGUUGGUUGAUGAAAAGUGAGCAAUCUUUAUUGUGAACACAAUAAUUACAG